AUAGAGUUGGAUUCCUCAAGAAACAAAUUUUCCGUUUUAGUAAGACGCCAUAGAAAUUUUAAAAAAUUAAAAUAAAAACGUGUUUGUACACGCACCGGCUUGAAGAUACCAGUAGUCUACGCCCUAGGUUUGGUUGAAUUUCAAAUCAGGUAUAAAUACGACACCGGUCACCUUCGUCACACCCAGAACUAGACGAGUCAGUGCCAAGCUCAGGAAUUACCAUGAAUCUCUCUAUCGUUUUUUCGCUGCUCGUCUCCUCUGCAUUUGCAGCUCCCUACUCAUCUCAUACGGCACCUGAAAAUAAUUACCUAAUGAAUUAUUACUAUCGCUACCCAGCUGCUGAGUACAAAGAUGUCCAAAGUCGAAACAUUCAAUUGAUAGCAGCUCUGUAUGAAAUAAAAAAGGCCGCCCUGUUGGGACUCUCCAAUGUCCAGUUGUAUUACACAGCCGCAAAAUGGAAUUUCAUCCUUUGUCUACUUGAUUCUUCGUGUCCGACCGUAGUAUUCCCUCCCACAGACCCCUUUGCUGGUCGCUAAAAUAAUUGGCUUAAAAAUGACAUUCAAUUCAUUUAUUCCCAUUUUUAAAAAGAAUUGUAUGUGGAUAUAUUAACGGUAAUAUUAGACUCGAAUUUUCACAUGUGUAGUAUUCCAUCUUGUGAGCACCUUUCAUUGUUUCUAGAGCACAAAUACGUUUGUUAAUAUAUAAAAUCAAUAGAUCUGAUUUCACUUCAAAGAAAUAAUAUACUUGAUUGUUUUACCGUGUCGAAAA